CACUCAGAUGUUUCUCUUUGCCAGUCUUCUCAGAGUGGCAUCAAAGUGCUGGGAAACUUACGUGGGAUCGAAGCACGGGAGAGAACAUAUGGUUCUCAUCUGGUAACUGUCCGCACAGCUACCAGCUGUGGUUCACACAGACCCAUCUGGUUUUCAGUUGUUGUUAUUCUUCUUGGCAAUGGCUGCCUUUCCCUCUGGCUGCCCAGCCACAUGUUCACACCACAUCCACUGAAAUGUCACCCCUUGACAAAGAUCCUUGCAGGUUGACAUCUGGUCUAGGCAUCCUAUUGAAAACCUGUUCAAGUUCUCACAAGAAGUCCACAUGCAGCCUUUGGGAACUGUGCUGCUCAUGUGUUCUGGGAUGCUGUGACUGACAGAUCAUGUCUACUUCCCCAACCAGCUUUGCCAUGCCCUCACC
rnacentral:lncRNA from 1 species